GCUGAGUGUGGUGGUGCAUGCCUGUAGUCCCAGCUACUUGGGAGGCUGAGGUGGGAGGAUCGCUUGAGCCCAGGAGGUUGAGGCUGCAGUGAGCCAUGAUUGUGCCACUGCACUCCAGCUUGGGCAACAAAGUGAGAUCCUGGCUUUA
rnacentral:SRP_RNA from 2 species